CCGUAGCCAUUUCGGCCAAAG
rnacentral:sRNA from 1 species